rfam:Ignavibacteria bacterium RIFCSPLOWO2_12_FTLL_56_21 rifcsplowo2_12_scaffold_568, whole genome shotgun sequence.
GGGUGCCGUCGGGCAGCCGCUCCGUUCGUCUUCGGACGGGCGGGGAGGAAAGUCCGAACACCGCAGGGCAGGGCGCCCCGUGAAAACGGGGGUCCGUCGGGCCACAUCCCGGCGGAACGGAUAGUGUCACAGAAAACAACCUCCCCUGAGCGAGUGCGCUGAAAGGCGCACGAGUCGAAGGGGGAAGGGUGAAAAGGUGGUGUAAGAGACCACCGCUGCUUCAGUAAUGAAGCAGGUCCCGAAAGGGAUUUUGCAUGUCGCAAGACGCGCGAAACACGAUAAACCCCGCCCGGUGCAAGACCACGUAAGUUCCGUUCUUCGCUUCGGCGAAGGAAGCGCUGCCCGCGCAACUUCCGUCUUCGGACGGGAAACGGAACGGGUAGGUCGCAUGAGAGAAAUGGCUGCCUCUCCCGACGGCAACGUUGGGAAAGACAGAAUUCGGCUUACAGACGGCGUCCGGUG